AGAGUUUGAUCCUGGCUCAGAGCGAACGCUGGCGGCAGGCUUAACACAUGCAAGUCGAGCGGGCGUAGCAAUACGUCAGCGGCAGACGGGUGAGUAACGCGUGGGAACGUACCUUUUGGUUCGGAACAACACAGGGAAACUUGUGCUAAUACCGGAUAAGCCCUUACGGGGAAAGAUUUAUCGCCGAAAGAUCGGCCCGCGUCUGAUUAGCUAGUUGGUAGGGUAAUGGCCUACCAAGGCGACGAUCAGUAGCUGGUCUGAGAGGAUGAUCAGCCACAUUGGGACUGAGACACGGCCCAAACUCCUACGGGAGGCAGCAGUGGGGAAUAUUGGACAAUGGGGGCAACCCUGAUCCAGCCAUGCCGCGUGAGUGAUGAAGGCCCUAGGGUUGUAAAGCUCUUUUGUGCGGGAAGAUAAUGACGGUACCGCAAGAAUAAGCCCCGGCUAACUUCGUGCCAGCAGCCGCGGUAAU
rnacentral:rRNA from 1 species